UAAGUUAGAAGUUGAAAUAGUUGUUAUUAAUUAAUGAUGCGGUCCCAACGCAUCAAGCCCUAAUUGGGAGGUGAUAAGUGAUGUGGGGGGUGGCAGUCCCACCUAACCUA
ncrna:unclassified sequences skipping-rope RNA